rnacentral:rRNA from 1 species
GGACUACACGGGUUUCUAAUCCUGUUUGCUCCCCACGCUUUCGCACCUCAGCGUCAGUAUCGGGCCAGUGAGCCGCCUUCGCCACUGGUGUUCUUGCGAAUAUCUACGAAUUUCACCUCUACACUCGCAAUUCCACUCACCUCUCCCGAACUCAAGAUUCCCAGUAUCAAAGGCAGUUCCGGGGUUGAGCCCCGGGAUUUCACCCCUGACUUAAAAAUCCGCCUACGUGCGCUUUACGCCCAGUGAUUCCGAACAACGCUAGCCCCCUUCGUAUUACCGCGGCUGCUGGCAC